rnacentral:rRNA from 1 species
ACUCAAAUGAAUAGACGGGGGCUCACACAAGCGGUGGAGGAUGUGGUUUAAUUCGAAGCAACGCGAAGAACCUUACCAGGUCUUGACAUACCGGGAUUAUGUAGGUGAAAGCCUAUUGAUUGCCCGCAAGGGUGUAACCGGAACAGGUGCUGCAUGGCUGUCGUCAGCUCGUGCCGUGAGGUGUCAGGUUAAGUCCUUUAACGAGCGAAACCCCUACGGUUAGUUACCAUCGCGUCAUGGCGGGGACUCUAGCCGGACUGCCGCGCAAGCUGGAGGAAGGUGGGGACGACGUCAAGUCAUCAUGGCCCUUAUGACCUGGGCUACACACGUCCUACAAUGGGUGGUACAACGGGUAGCCAGGCAGCAAUGCCGAGCCAAUCCCUGAAAGCCACCCUCAGUUCAGAUUGUGGGCUGCAAUUCGCCCACAUGAAGCUGGAAUCGCUAGUAAUCGCGGAUCAGCCACGCCGCGGUGAAUUUGUUCCUGAGCCUUGCACACACCGCCCGU